rnacentral:rRNA from 1 species
UACGGAGGAUGCGAGCGUUAUCCGGAUUUAUUGGGUUUAAAGGGUGCGUAGGCGGAUUAAUAAGUCAGUGGUGAAAACCUUCAGCUUAACUGGAGACUUGCCAUUGAUACUGUUAGUCUUGAGUACGGUCAAGGUAGGCGGAAUGUGUAAUGUAGCGGUGAAAUGCUUAGAUAUUACACAGAACACCGAUUGCGAAGGCAGCUUACUGGGCCAUUACUGACGCUGAUGCACGAAAGCGUGGGGAGCGAACAGGAUUAGAAACCCUAGUAGUCC